rnacentral:rRNA from 1 species
UACGUAGGGGGCAAGCGUUGUCCGGAUUUACUGGGCGUAAAGAGCGUGUAGGCGGUUAGGUAGGUCCGUUGUGAAAACUCGAGGCUCAACCUCGAGACGCCGAUGGAAACCAUCUGACUAGAGUCCGGAAGAGGAGAGUGGAAUUCCUGGUGUAGCGGUGAAAUGCGCAGAUAUCAGGAAGAACACCCGUGGCUAAGGCGGCUCUCUAGUACGGUACUGACGCUGAGACGCGAAAGCGUGGGGAGCGAACAGG